AUGAACGCUGGCGGCGUGCCUAAUACAUGCAAGUCGAGCGAACAGACGAGGAGCUUGCUCCUCUGACGUUAGCGGCGGCCGGGUGAGUAACACGUGGUUAACCUACCUAUAAGACUGGGAUAACUUCGGGAAACCGGAGCUAAUACCGGAUAAUAUAUUUAACCGCAUGGUUCAAUAGUGAAAUACGGUUUUGCUGUCACUUAUAGAUGGAUUCGCGCCGCAUUAGCUAGUUGGUAAGGUAACGGCUUACCAAGGCAACGAUGCGUAGCCGACCUGAGAGGGUGAUCGGCCACACUGGAACUGAGACACGGUCCAGACUCCUACGGGAGGCAGCAGUAGGGAAUCUUCCGCAGUGGGCGAGAGCUUGACGGAGCAACGCCGCGUGAGUGAUGAAGGUCUUCGGAUCGUAAAACUCUGUUAUUAGGGAAGAACAAAUGUGUAAGUAACUAUGCACGUCUUGACGGUACCUAAUCAGAAAGCCACGGCUAACUACGUG
rnacentral:rRNA from 1 species